rnacentral:rRNA from 1 species
UACGGGGGGGGCAAGCGUUGUUCGGAAUUACUGGGCGUAAAGGGCUCGUAGGUGGCCAACUAAGUCAGACGUGAAAUCCCCAGGCUCAACUUGGGAACUGCGUCUGAUACUGGAUGGCUUGAAUUCGGGAGAGGGAUGCAGAAUUCCAGGUGUAGCGGUGAAGUGCGUAGAUAUCUGGAGGAAUACCGGUGGCGAAGGCGGCAUCCUGGACCGGCAUUGACGCUGAGGAGCGAAAGCCAGGGGAGCAAACGGG